GGAGGUUGUUAAUGUGGAAUCCAGAACUGGGUGUGACACUCCAUUUUCUUCUCCAGGCAAGGCUCUGCGGAUGUAACGAGGACAACAAACAUGGUCCCUGCUCUCGUGAAGUUGUCCUGCAAAAAGAAGGCUCUGGUUUUAGACUUCUGUAUCCUUCAAAAUACCAGCUACCUGGCUUUUCUCACAGUCGGAUCUUUAAAAACUGAUGUCGACAGAUGAGGCUGAGCAUCCAAUGUCCGACGGACCCAGAACCGAGUCCCACUUCUCCCACUGACUAGCUUUGUGACUCCAGUCAUCUUUCACCUCGUGAAACCAAAGACUUCUGAAUUAAGAACUGCGCUCUGGCCCACUUCCGUGUGCCCUGCAGACUUCCCGGAGGGCUGGAUGGAAGAGCGGUAAGAGCAAGAGCACUGGGGUCGGAGUUUACAGAAUCCCACCGUUUCACUAGUACACUGUUAUGCACUCAAUGAUCUUUGGUAAGUUAGCACUCCUAGGUCUCAGUUUUCGACUACGAGAAAUAGAGAUGACAGCUUUAUCAGUUUUUGUGGGGCCUGAAUGCCUGGAGAGCGAGAGGAGUAGGGAAACCCAGCAAGCCAGAGUCGACAGCUUCUCUAACUGUAAAGUGUGUACAGGCCUUAAGGUCCAUGUGAGGCCUAUGGAGGACCAGUGCCUCUGGAAAGGAAUCGCUCACCAAGGCGACGUUCUCUUACUUCAUGAUAUAAUUUCUUUGUUAAAAGUAGUAGCUGCUUUAGUUCCAUUUCUCCAGUUGCAAGAGAAAGUUCUUGAGAAAAUAAAAAUCUGUCUUUAAUUGUGGUAUUAAAAUCAGAGCAGCGAAACUAACCGCUCAAAAGGAACUGGCUCAAGUUUAUGAAAGGCAUUUGGGCCCUUGCCUUGCAAGGCUGAACUGCAC